GACGAACGCUGGCGGCGUGCCUAAUACAUGCAAGUCGAACGCAGUGGGGACGGGUGAGUAACACGUGGGUAACCUCCCAUCAGAGGGGAUAACACUUGGAAACAGGUGCUAAACCGAUACUGAUGGAUGGACCCGCGGUGCAUUAGCUAGUUGGUGAGGUAACGGCUCACCAAGGCCACGAGGCAUAGCCGGCCUGAUGGGGGGAUCGGCCACACUGGGACUGAGACACGGCCAAGUCUCCUACUGGAGGCAGCAGUAGGUAAUUUUCGGCAAUGGACGAAAGUCUGACCGAGAAACGCCGCGUGAGUGAAGAAGGUUUUCGGAUCGUAAAACUCUGUUGUUCGAGCAGCGGUAUCUAACCAGAAAGCCACGGCUAACUACGUGCCAGUAGCCGCGGUAAUUC
rnacentral:rRNA from 1 species